rnacentral:rRNA from 1 species
UACGUAGGGGCCUAGCGUUGUCCGGAAUUACUGGGCGUAAAGCGCGCGUAGGCGGCUUUGCAAGUCGGGUGUGAAAUCCCCAGGCUUAACCUGGGAACUGCAUUCGAGACUGCAUUGCUAGAGUAUGGGAGAGGGAAGUGGAAUUUCCGGUGUAGCGGUGAAAUGCGUAGAUAUCGGAAGGAACAUCAGUGGCGAAAGCGACUUCCUGGACCAAUACUGACGCUCAUGUGCGAAAGCGUGGGGAGCAAACAGG